rnacentral:rRNA from 1 species
UGCCGGCGACCGGCGGACGGGUGCGUAACGCGUAUGUAACCUACCUUUGACAGGGGGAUAACAUCGAGAAAUUGGUACUAAUACCCCAUAACAUCACCGGAGGCAUCUUCGGUGGUUGAAAACUCAGGUGGUCAGAGAUGGACAUGCGUUGUAUUAGCUAGUUGGUGAGGUAACGGGCUCACCAAGGCGACGAUACAUAGGGGGACUGAGAGGUCAACCCCCCACAUUGGUACUGAGACACGGACCAAACUCCUACGGAAGGCAGCAG